rnacentral:rRNA from 1 species
CCUACGGGAGGCAGCAGUGGGGAAUCUUGCGCAAUGGGCGAAAGCCUGACGCAGCAACGCCGCGUGCGGGAAGAAGGCCUUAGGGUUGUAAACCGCUUUCAGUAGGAACGAAAAUGACGGUACCUGCAGAAGAAGGUGCGGCCAACUACGUGCCAGCAGCCGCGGUGACACGUAGGCACCAAGCGUUGUCCGGAUUUAUUGGGCGUAAAGAGCUCGUAGGCGGUUCAGUAAGUCGGGUGUGAAAACUCUGGGCUUAACCCAGAGCCGCCACUCGAUACUGCUGUGACUUGAGUUCGGUAGGGGAGCAGGGAAUUCCUAGUGUAGCGGUGAAAUGCGCAGAUAUUAGGAGGAACACCGGUGGCGAAGGCGCUGCUCUGGGCCGAUACUGACGCUGAGGAGCGAAAGCGUGGGUAGCAAACAGGAUUAGAUACCCUGGUAGUCCACGCCGUAAACGUUGGGCACUAGGUGUGGGUUCCAACCAACGGAAUCCGCGCCGUCGCUAACGCAUUAAGUGCCCCGCCUCGGGGAGUACGGCGGCAACGCUAAAACUCAAAGGAAUUGACGG